GGCUUCGGCUGUCACUUAUGGAUGGACCCGCGUCGCAUUAGCUAGUUGGUGAGGUAACGGCUCACCAAGGCAACGAUGCGUAGCCGACCUGAGAGGGUGAUCGGCCACACUGGGACUGAGACACGGCCCAGACUCCUACGGGAGGCAGCAGUAGGGAAUCUUCCGCAAUGGACGAAAGUCUGACGGAGCAACGCCGCGUGAGUGAUGAAGGCUUUCGGGUCGUAAAACUCUGUUGUUAGGGAAGAACAAGUGCUAGUUGAAUAAGCUGGCACCUUGACGGUACCUAACCAGAAAGCCACGGCUAACUACGUGCCAGCAGCCGCGGUAAUACGUAGGUGGCAAGCGUUAUCCGGAAUUAUUGGGCGUAAAGCGCGCGCAGGUGGUUUCU
rnacentral:rRNA from 1 species